UUCGGUCUGGUGGCGACCGGCGCACGGGUGCGUAACGCGUAUGCAACCUGCCUUAUGCAGGGGGAUAGCCCAUGGAAACGUGGAUUAAUACCCCAUAGUAUCAUUUUAUUGCAUAGUAGAAUGAUUAAAACUUCGGUGGCAUAAGAUGGGCAUGCGUCUGAUUAGCUUGUUGGUGAGGUAACGGCUCACCAAGGCGACGAUCAGUAGGGGUUCUGAGAGGAUUAUCCCCCACACUGGUACUGAGACACGGACCAGACUCCUACGGGAGGCAGCAGUGAGGAAUAUUGGUCAAUGGGCGCGAGCCUGAACCAGCCAUCCCGCGUGCAGGAUGACGGCCCUAUGGGUUGUAAACUGCUUUUCUACGCCAAGAAACCCUGUUACGUGUAACAGGUUGCCGGUAGCGUAGGAAUAAGCAUCGGCUAACUCCGUGCCAGCAGCCGCGGUAAUACGGAGGAUGCAAGCGUUAUCCGGAUUCAUUGGGUUUAAAGGGUGCGCAGGUUGGCUUGUAAGUCAGUGGUGAAAUACUGCCGCUUAACGGUAGAAUUGCCAUUGAUACUGCGGGUCUUGAGUAUGGUUGAGGUAGGCGGAAUGUGUUGUGUAGCGGUGAAAUGCAUAGAUAUGACACAGAACGCCGAUUGCGAAGGCAGCUUACUAAGCCAUUACUGACGCUGAGGCACGAAAGCGUGGGGAGCGAACAGGAUUAGAUACCCUGGUAGUCCACGCUGUAAACGAUGUUCACUCGCUGUUUGCGAUACACAGUAAGCGGCUGAGCGAAAGCAUUAAGUGAACCACCUGGGGAGUACGAUCGCAAGGUUGAAACUCAAAGGAAUUGACGGGGGCCCGCACAAGCGGAGGAACAUGUGGUUUAAUUCGAUGAUACGCGAGGAACCUUACCUGGGCUUAAA
rnacentral:rRNA from 1 species